GGAUUAGAUACCCUGGUAGUCCACGCCGUAAACGAUGUGUGCUAGUUGUCAGACCCUUGAGGUUUGGUGACGGAGCGAAAGUAUUAAGCACACCGCCUGGGGAGUACGGCCGCAAGGUUAAAACUCAAAGGAAUUGACGGGGACCCGCACAAGCGGUGGAGCAUGUUGUUUAAUUCGAAGCAACGCGAAGAACCUUACCUACACUUGACAUCCUUCUUGGGACUUUCAGAGAUGAUUGUCUUCGGUUCGGCCGGGGAAGUGACAGGUGCUGCAUGGCUGUCGUCAGCUCGUGCCG
rnacentral:rRNA from 1 species